GGUUUGUGCGCCCGUCGCAGGUCGCAGGCCUCUUUGUCAGCUGGAGUUGCGCGGGCUGACGCGCCACUAUGUAGCGGGUUUCGGGCGGGCCACGCGUGCGGGACAGGAACCCAACCCCAGCCGACCUUGAGCUCCAGGAGUUCGUCUCUUACGUCUGCGGAAGUGCAGCUGCCUCAGUUCUUAGCGCAGGUAUGUUCCUAGCCUUGAGCGGGGUGGGGGAAGGAAUGAGUCAGCCUGGAGCACGUGGCCAGUGGGACCGGAGGGUUCCCCGGCGUCUGUUUGUCGCCAAGGUCCGAAUCCGGCUCCCCUUAACUGGAAGGAAACAUCCAUGUAGGGGCUCACCAAACAAAACAGCUGUGUUUCUAGUGUGGUUUCAGACUUAGAGAAGCAGAGAUCCACGAGGUAUUGAGAGCAACGCGGAAAAUAGUAGUGAACCCUGUAAAAAUCAAAGAAAAAAAAUCACAAAGCACCCUUUCCUGUGCCCUUUUAAGGUUGACCCAGUGCUUUAAGAGGCUAACACAGAAGGGUAAAGUAAGUCUCCAUAAAACCCAGAGAAGAGACUGGAAAGCUCCUCUUUGGAUCCUGUCUGGAGUCACAACUGAACCAGAAAAAGUUUCGUUACAACUUGAGCGCCUUUGUGAUUUUCUUUACAGUUUAUAGAACAAGCAAUACAUUUCAGUUUUCUUUGGUUAAAACGUCAUUUUAAAACUUUUCUUUCUAUAGGUUGACAACUACAGGCACAAGCCAUUGAAGCUGGAAUGUCCUGUUGCUGGUAUUUCAAUUGACUUAAGCCAACUAUCCCUUCAGUUACAAUAGGAAAGUGCCUCUAAUAAGGCCAAAUAUGCGUACUAACUUGUAGCAACCACGUGUCCGUGCAGUGCCACAGGAGCUAGAGCAGUGACAAUGCUGGUGGCAACAGGGCAGUGUAGCAGGUGCUUCAUGUUCACCUUUUCAACCUUUUCAUUUAAUUGUCACAACUCGGAGGUGGAUUCUGUUAGGGACAGGCUGCCCCAGGACCACUCCGCCCCCGCUAACUCAAUGCAGCUGACCCUUACCCUGAAUACUCUGCAGCUGCAUUCCUGAACCGUUAUCUAGGCGCUAUAGCAAGGUCACCAGACUUGCUACACCGAAGCCCUCUGGGUGGCACGGGGGAGGUCAUGAGAAACGUGGAUUACACCCCCUUGUAAAUUCCUAUUUUCACAAGAUAAUAUAUUGUAAGCCGGUCAUGAGAUUAUAUGUGGUAAAGUUAAUUGACUAACAACCCCAGGGUCUCUCUCCCCCAUAUAAACCCCUCAUUUUGUAAGCUCAGGGCUGCCACCUCCGACUGGUGGAGAAGCCUGGCAGGUUAAUAAACUUACUUGGCCUGACCUUGGGUCUCUUGUCUUUUCUCUCGGCUAACCUUACAGAUUCUAUUCUCCCAUUUCACAGGUAAAGAAAUGGAUUAGUGAUAACUCAAGUUUCAUCACCUCUCUACAAGUUUCACGCUGUUUAAGUCAUGAACCUACAAAAGCCUGUGAAAAAAUCUUUGAAGAUGCUCAGCUUGUUUCAGUCUGAAAUUUCUCCAAGACCAAUGAACAAAACAGGAUCAUGCCCUGAAUACACACCCAAG
rnacentral:lncRNA from 1 species